rnacentral:lncRNA from 1 species
AUUUGUGAACUGCUAAAUCCUAAGCCAUGCCAGGCAACACAGAGUCACAGGGUUGGAGAGACACAGGCAGCCAUUGUAGCUGUAUGCAGAAUUCUGAGCAGCAGCUCCUGUCCAAACCUGUCAGACCCAUUGUAUGCUGCUGCGUUCCCACUACUACCACAGGUUCAGUCUGUCACCAAUGCUGCUGGGGAUAUCCUGUAGGCAAGCAGGUGUGUUGUCACUUCAGUCUUAGGACAGGAGCAGACAGCCAUCCACUGACACCGGGCUGAAGGUGUUGAUCUCCUAUGAUACCAGGUCUAGAAUUCCAUGCUUCCAUUCUUGUUCAUGACUGUCUACUGAGUCAGCAAAAUGCUGCCAAAUUUUAUCUCCUUGGAAUGUCUAUGUUAUUAGGAAGCUGGGUUCUCUGCUUCAGGAGUUACAAUAUUUGAUCAAUACCUUUGCCCUUUGUAGAGAGCAGCAUUGUAGAUUUAGAAAUGAACGACAUUGUUGAAUCUACAGAGCUGGAAUAUAGUGUGGCUCUGAGAAUUUCCCAAGUGUAUUAGGACUACUUCCAGUAUGCUUUUGAGUAGAUGUUGCAGCUAUACCAAUUUCGAUUAUUUUUGAAACUAAUUAAAGUAACAGACUCAAUUUGAUAGAUUGGCAUAAUGUAUAACAAAAUUGCAAGGCUAUCAUGACUACUGUCAAUUAAUUAAAAACAAAUGUUUAAUGGUGUGUUUUAACUAUGGUUUUAUAACUGGUAGCAACAGUGGAUCUACUGAAUAAACAUUGACAUUACCUUUGUGUUGUCUUACAGAUGUGCUGGUGAAGAAUUCUUGGAGAUCCAGGGCUUCUGUGUCUCAUCGUAGGGCUUCUGGGAGAAUCACCUGGCUUUAUCUUGAAUACUGAUUAUCCUCUUAAAAAUUACUGAUGUACAAUUGCUACCUCUUAAGAAAAGGAUUCAGUGUUAAAUUGCCAUUUCUGUGUACCAUAUUUAAAUUUUCUUAAAUUUAAUUUUAUUUUUAAUUCAUUUUUUAUACUCCAUAUUCCAUUUCCUGUGCCCCCCCAUCCACCCCACAGCUCCACAUCCUACCCCUCCUCCCACCCCAGCUGACCUCUAAACUCCCUGGGGCUUCCUGUCUCUUGAGGGUUAGGUGCAUCAUCUCUGAAUGAACACUCAUAUUAAUUUCUAAUUUGUUUGCAUUAUCCUG